rnacentral:lncRNA from 1 species
UUAAUUGCUUCAUGUGACCAUCAACCCUCCACCUCCAAUUGGAACCCUAAUCUCACCUGCUGCCAUACGCCCACCUUCACCUCGUAUCCUUGAUAAUUACCAGUUUCAACAGUGCAUCAACAUCGAAUUGAAGCUCAUCUUAGUUUGGGCUUGAUUUGGAUCAAUGUUGGUUGGACUGUGGAUAUUUGAAGGCUUGCUGAAUGUUGAAUUGUUGAUGCUGUUACGGCUGUUGUUCUUGGACUGUAUGUUCUCCGUAUAA